AUUGAACGCUGGCGGCAGGCCUAACACAUGCAAGUCGAGCGGAUGAGGGGAGCUUGCUCCUCGAUUCAGCGGCGGACGGGUGAGUAAUGCCUAGGAAUCUGCCUAGUAGUGGGGGACAACGUUUCGAAAGGAACGCUAAUACCGCAUACGUCCUACGGGAGAAAGUGGGGGAUCUUCGGACCUCACGCUAUUAGAUGAGCCUAGGUCGGAUUAUCUAGUUGGUAGGGUAACGGCCACCCAAGGCGACGAUCCGUAACUGGUCUGAGAGGAUGAUCAGUCACACUGGAACUGAUACACGGUCCAGACUCCUACGGGAGGCAGCAGUGGGGAAUAUUGGACAAUGGGCGAAAGCCUGAUCCAGCCAUGCCGCGUGUGUGAAGAAGGCCCUCGGGUCGUAAAGCACUUUAAGUUGGGAGGAAGGGCUUACAGCGAAUACCUGUGAGUUUUGACGUUACCGACAGAAUAAGCACCGGCUAACUUCGUGCCAGCAGCCGCAGUAA
rnacentral:rRNA from 1 species